GAUGAACGCUAGCUACAGGCUUAACACAUGCAAGUCGAGGGACCGGCGCACGGGUGAGUAACACGUAUCCAACCUGCCCUUUACUCGGGGAUAGCCUUUCGAAAGACAGAUUAAUACCCGAUGUAAAGGAUGGGGAUGCGUUCCAUUAGGUUGUUGGUGAGGUAACGGCUCACCAAGCCUUCGAUGGAGAGGGGUUCUGAGAGGAAGGUCCCCCACAUUGGAACUGAGACACGGUCCAAACUGCGACGGGAGGCAGCAGUGAGGAAUAUUGGUCAAGGGACGAAAGUAUGAACCAGCCAAGUAGCGUGAAGGAUGACGGCCUAGGGGUGGUAAACUGCUUUUAUAUGGGGAGAGGUACCAUAUGAAGAAGGACCGGCUAAUUCCGUGCCAGCAGCCGCGGUAAUAC
rnacentral:rRNA from 1 species